rnacentral:rRNA from 1 species
AGUAAAAGUCGUAACAAGGUCUCCGUUGGUGAACCAGCGGAGGGAUCAUUACAGAGUUAUCCAACUCCCAAACCCAUGUGAACUUAUCUCUUUGUUGCCUCGGCGCAAGCUACCCGGGACCUCGCGCCCCGGGGGGCCCGCCGGCGGACAAACCAAACUCUGUUAUCUUCGUUGAUUAUCUGAGUGUCUUAUUUAAUAAGUCAAAACUUUCAACAACGGAUCUCUUGGUUCUGGCAUCGAUGAAGAACGCAGCGAAAUGCGAUAAGUAAUGUGAAUUGCAGAAUUCAGUGAAUCAUCGAAUCUUUGAACGCACAUUGCGCCCAUUAGUAUUCUAGUGGGCAUGCCUGUUCGAGCGUCAUUUCAACCCCUAAGCACAGCUUAUCGUUGGGACUCUACGGCUUCGUAGUUCCCCAAAGACAUUGGCGGAGUGGCAGCAGUCCUCUGAGCGUAGUAAUUCUUUAUCUCGCUUUUGUUAGGCGCUGCCCCCCCGGCCGUAAAACCCCCAAUUUUUUCUGGUUGACCUCGGAUCAGGUAGGAAUACCCGCUGAACUUAAGCAUAUCAAUAAGCGGAGGAAAAGAAACCAACAGGGAUUGCCCCAGUAACG